rnacentral:rRNA from 1 species
UACAGAGGGUGCAAGCGUUAAUCGGAAUUACUGGGCGUAAAGCGUGCGCAGGCGGUUUGUUAAGACAGAUGUGAAAUCCCCGGGCUUAACCUGGGAACUGCAUUUGUGACUGGCAAGCUAGAGUAUGGCAGAGGGGGGUAGAAUUCCACGUGUAGCGGUGAAAUGCGUAGAGAUCUGGAGGAAUACCGGUGGCGAAGGCGGCCCCCUGGACGAAGACUGACGCUCAGGUGCGAAAGCGUGGGGAGCAAACAGG